UGGUCAAGUUAUUAAGGGUGCAGGGCGGAUGCCUUGGCACUAGGAGCCGAUGAAGGACGUGAUAAGCUGCGAUAAGCUUCGGGGAGUUGCACGUAAACUUUGAUCCGAAGAUUUCCGAAUGAGGAAACUCACUUAGAGUAAUGUCUAAGUAUCAUUAAGUGAAUACAUAGCUUAAUGAGGGGAACUCAGGGAACUGAAACAUCUAAGUACCUGA
rnacentral:rRNA from 1 species